rnacentral:rRNA from 1 species
GACGAACGCUGGCGGCGUGCUUAACACAUGCAAGUCGAACGGUGAAGCACCUUCCUUUUGGUGGGUGUGGAUGAGUGGCGAACGGGUGAGUAACACGUGAGUAACCUGCCCCCUUCUCCUGGAUAACCGCAUGAAAGUGUGGCUAAUACGGGAUAUUCUGUGCCUGCUGCAUGGUGGGUGUGGGAAAGAUGCGCUUUUGGGUGUUUUUGGUGGGGGAUGGGCUCGCGGCCUAUCAGCUUGUGGGUGGGGUGAUGGCCUACCAAGGCGGUGACGGGUAGCCGGCCUGAGAGGGUGGACGGUCACACUGGGACUGAGACACGGCCCAGACUCCUACGGGAGGCAGCAGUGGGGAAUAUUGCACAAUGGGCGCAAGCCUGAUGCAGCGACGCCGCGUGAGGGAUGGAGGCCUUCGGGUUGUAAACCUCUUUCGCCAGUGAAGCAGGCCUGUCCCUUGUGGGUGGGUUGACGGUAGCUGGAUAAGAAGCGCCGGCUAACUACGUG